CAGGUCCCAUAGCCCCUCUGAAUCCUAGUUUCUUAUCUGUGGCCUGAAGACAGCACCACCCACUCACAGGGUCGGGAACCACGCCGGGAAGUGCUGGGACCUUGUACAAACAGAAGGCAAUUUGGCAAUUACUCUGAGAGGUCAGAGGUUAGGAGAGACUGGGAAGCACCAAGGAAAUGAAACUCUGAGGGACCUGAGGAGCCUCCCACGUCACUGCUCAGCUAUUCACUCUGCGUGCUGGAACCUUCAGGGUAGGGGCCAUCUGGAUGGCAUUUUCAGGAAUUUGGAGAAAUGGGCCUGGUAGGGCCUCAUAUCUCACAUUAGAUACCUCUUCAGAACUGGGUGUCCCCAGAGACCCAGGACGUCUGUCUGGCACUCCCAGGAAGAACAACUGCGAAUGUUACCCCG
rnacentral:lncRNA from 10 species